GACGCUCUACCAGACGCCAGGAUCAUAGAUACAGUGAGGCUGUGCGCAUGCGUACCAGGCUGGACCGACACAUGCGCAGAGUGCAUCGGUGACUGAACACCGGAAUAGGGAGCCGCGUGCUGGCGAAUGAGGUUUCGACACAUAGACAAGAGAAACCUGCUUCCGCUUGGCCAUGUUGGGUGGGGAGCCAUUGACGGACUUUCCUUUAACGAGUGACUUACAAUAUUCUAAGACGUCAAAAGAAAAAAAAAGUUUUUCUCAGUGGAACUGGACGGUCAUGCAGGUGGGCAGCUUCUGGAGGCUCCCGGAGUGUCAGGCCCUCCUCUCUACCCUGGCUGUUGAACAACAAUACCAAUGGACCAAAGGAAGGACUUUAUCUAGUUGUGUCUGCCUGUCUCCUGGGAAGUGUCUUCUGUGAACUUCCCUCAGACCAGGAAGCCUGCUAGUACUAGGUGUAGAACAUCUGGAUCCAGCACAAAAAGAAAGUAAAAGGUGAUGAUCCAGUC